rnacentral:rRNA from 1 species
AUGGCGGAGGAGGAGGGGACACAGCAGCUUCCGUUCGUGCGGGAGACGGUCCUCAAGAAGAGGAAGGACAACGAGGAGUGGGCCACCAAGAACCGGGAGCGCAAGGCGGCCAAGAUGCAGCACCGCCGCCACGACGCCAAGUGCGCCAUCAAGCACCCCGAGGUCUUCGUCAAGGAGUUCCGCAACAAGGAGCUCGACUUCCUGCGGAUGCGGACGCGCCUCAAGGUCCGGAAUCUGCGCCCCGCCGAGGCCAUCGACGCCAAGCUUCUCUUCGCCAUCCACAUCCCAGCACUGCUGACUUGCACCCGCAAAAUCGGGAAGAUCUUGGCAAGGCUGCAGCUGAAAAAGGUCCUCACCGGUGUCUUCCUCAAGGCCACCGAGGCAAACCUCAAGAGGCUUGCUACUGUUGGACCGUUCGUCACCUAUGGGUUCCCCAAUUUGAAGAAUGUGAAGGAGCUUAUUUACAAGAAGGGUCGCGGAUAUUUCGACAAGGAGCCUUUCCCCCUUACCAGCAAUGAUCUAAUCGAGAAGACUUAUAAAAAUGAGGAAGUUCAACCUUAUCUUUGUGAAGGUUCAGUGAGUGUACCAGUAGCAGGAAUUCGCAGACUGCAAAAAAGAAAAUCUUUCAAAAAAAACAACACACCUUGGGUGGGGGUCUGUUUGCUGCUGGAGCUCAUAUUUGUGUUUUUCGUGCAGUGUUUUCAGGUGCAUCGGAAGGUGUUAUGA